rnacentral:rRNA from 1 species
AGUUUGAUCCUGGCUCAGGAUGAACGCUAGCGGCAGGCUUAACACAUGCAAGUCGAGGGGUAUAGGUUUUCGGACCUAGAGACCGGCGCACGGGUGCGUAACGCGUAUGCAAUCUACCUUUCACAGAGGGAUAGCCCAGAGAAAUUUGGAUUAAUACCUCAUAGUAUAGCAGUUUCGCAUGAAACCACUAUUAAAGUCACAACGGUGAAAGAUGAGCAUGCGUCCCAUUAGCUUGUUGGUAAGGUAACGGCUUACCAAGGCAACGAUGGGUAGGGGUCCUGAGAGGGAGAUCCCCCACACUGGUACUGAGACACGGACCAGACUCCUACGGGAGGCAGCAGUGAGGAAUAUUGGACAAUGGGCGCAAGCCUGAUCCAGCCAUGCCGCGUGCAGGAUGACGGUCCUAUGGAUUGUAAACUGCUUUUAUACGAGAAGAAACACUCCUUCGUGAAGGAGCUUGACGGUAUCGUAAGAAUAAGGAUCGGCUAACUCCGUG